UGUGCUUGACGCACUGUUGUCACUUAUGUGUAGUGACGAACAAAACCAACGAAUUAUUCAUUAGAGGGGCAUAUAUUUUAAAUGCGUUUGUUCAGCUAUACUCAACCAAACGAGUAUUUUUUGUUCAUUUGGGAGGAGUUCGGAGGUACAUAUUUGGCUAAGACUAUGCCAUAUCUUGGCCCUAGGGUGCAAGUACAGAAUCAAGUACAUUUACAACAAAAAAUGAUCUAUCCAAGGGUUGCAAAUAUUGUGUUGGACGUUCAAAACAAGGGUAUCCAAGAAUGAAAUUUAAAGUUCCUUCAGUUAAGCAGCAAAAAUAUAUUAAAUUUAUGGAGGAAAGCCAUCAUCGGAUCAAUGAUUUACCAGGUCAAUAGAGAUGUGAUGAGGAGGCAUCCAAAAAUGAGGAGGAAUUGAAUGAUAACACUGAAGAACCCAGUGAAGCUGCAGAAGGUGCACAACAAAAACUGAAAUGCACUGGCGAGUUUGGUGCAUUAACGGAUGUCGGAGAAGAUUUGCUGAGAAUGGCAUCGUGAAUCAGAAUGUUGGGGUGAGGGCCGAGGGAAGGAAAGCUAGGGAGGUGACAGAUGAAGAAGAUAUAACUCACCAACAAGUCCUCUUCAUGUUGGAUCCGAUGGUGAUGACGACUUUGUAUAAUGCUUCGUCUUUGUGGGUGGAAACUGGAGACUUAAGAACUCUAUAGGUUUUUCUUAGCUGCCAAUGAAGCUAUUACAUGAGAAGAUUGAAGAGGUUUUGCUAUUACCGGAAUUUGUGUACAGAUUAGGCCUUUUUGUUAACACUAUCAUAUAACAUAUGGUAACUGUCAUCUGGCUGCUGUUGCCAUGGUUCGUUUUUCUAAGAGCAAUCAUAUGCCAACACACGCUAACAAUCAACAAGAGUAAGGAUACCAGAGAAAUUAUUCUAAUAAGGAACUGACCUUGGAAGGAUCAACCUUGGGGAAGCUCUUGACGACAUCCAAAACUCUUUUCA